AGUCAUACGCUCGUCUCAAAGAUUAAGCCAUGCAUGUGUAAGUAUAAAUAUUUAACUUUGAAACUGCGAAUGGCUCAUUAUAUCAGUUAUAGUUUAUUUGAUGAAAAGUACUACUUGGAUAACCGUAGUAAUUCUAGAGCUAAUACAUGAUAAAAUCCUCGACUUUGAAGAGGUGUAUUUAUUAGAAUGAAACCAAUAGACUUCGGUCUGUUUGUGAGUAAUAAUAACUAAUCGUAUCGCAUGCUUAGGUAGCGAUAUGUCUUUCAAGUUUCUGCCCUAUCAGCUUUGGAUGGUAGUGUAUUGGACUACCAUGGCAGUAACGGGUAACGAAGAAUUUGGGUUCGAUUUCGGAGAGGGAGCCUGAGAGAUGGCUACCACAUCCAAGGAAGGCAGCAGGCGCGUAAAUUACCCAAUCCUGACAUAGGGAGGUAGUGACAAUAAAUAACGAUACGGGGCCUAUUAGGUCUCGUAAUUGGAAUGAGAACAAUUUAAAUACCUUAACGAGGAACAAUUAGAGGGCAAGUCUGGUGCCAGCAGCCGCGGUAAUUCCAGCUCUGAUAGUAUAUAUUAA
rnacentral:rRNA from 1 species